AAGACUAAACUACUGAGAUGUUGGAUGGAGAAGAUAAAUAUGAUGUCGGCGAAUAUGGAUCAAUUGAAGCAGAUUUCUUUCUCUUCUCUGCCGCCUGUUCUUCAUCUCGAUCUUCUGAGUUUUCAGUAUGAUUCUUUAACAGAUCAGAAUGUAAAUAUUGUGACAGAAUGCUCUUUCAGGCGAAAAUCACACGGAACGAUGUCAGAAGACAAAUACGGCAGUACCUGUUAUUAUUGCAGCUGUUAGUAACCGUCACAGUUUUGGUCGUCAUACAGGAUGGUGUUGUGAUAUAGCAAAAUGACACAUAUACUGAACUCAAUCUUGGAUGAGAAUGGAGAUGAGCUUGGGAGAUCUUGAAGAUGUACUUAAAUAAGGAUGGUCUUGAGUGGAAGCAUGGAAAUACAUUCUUAAGAAGCAAGUAGCUAAAAGGAGGUAGCAAAAAGGUUCGUGUAUUAAGUAAGAUGUCAUAUUGACAAGGAAUUGGAUCUGAAACUGAGGACGGAGAAAGUAACGGGUGCUGUUGAAUAUGUUUAAUAAACUUUUUUUUGAAAAAAAAACUUAUGUCUACACUGAUUUCUCUUUUAACCUUUAA